GUGGCAGCAAAUCUAAUUCCUAAAAAUUAUUUAUUCAAACUGUAGAAUAGCUUUGUAAAGACCUUCUCUAUUUGUUUGGAUUUAAACAGAGUAAAUUCAGUGUAUAAUUCCAAUACAUCUUCAGCUAUUGAAAUUCGCAAGUCUAUGUUUUCACAUAAGGUAUACAUUUCCGAGUGGAAGGCGAGUGUAUAUCUUUUGUUCAGAUCUUUUAACCUCUCGUCCAUUACUGACACUUGUUCCAAGGCCUUUCUAAAAUGUCGUUGAUGUUUCCUCAAUUCUGCAAAUUGUUCUGUUCUGGUAUCCAUUAUGCUAUAAUCAGAGAAUUUUUUGAAGUUCAACAUGAAUAUGUAUAAUGUGAUUACCUGUCCCUCGUGUUACAAUUAAAUACUUCCAAGGUGGUCGAGUUAAUCAUCGAGUAAUAUGACUGAGUAUUGAGUUUUGACAUCAGAUAUUGAGUACUAUCUUACUAUUUCUUUUACACUUGUCAUUAUCAGGGC
rnacentral:lncRNA from 1 species